rnacentral:rRNA from 1 species
ACGGAGGGGGCGAACGUUAUUCGGAUUUACUGGGCGUAAAGCGAUCGUAGGCGGAAUGUUAAGUUAGAUGUGAAAGCCCUGGGCUCAACCCGGGAACUGCAUUUAAAACUGGCAAUCUAGAGUGUUGGAGAGGAUGACGGAAUUCCAAGUGUAGCGGUGAAAUGCGUAGAGAUGUGGAGGAACAUCAGUGGCGAAGGCGG